UUUUGUGAAAGAGAUGUAGGUGUUCAAAGUUAAGGUGUUAAAUUUGUAUCUACUAUCACUCUUUGAAGCAUAACAUAUGCAUAUAGAAAGCAAUAAAAUAUUGGUAACUAGAGUUGGAGAGAAAACUUUCUUGGCUACACUUUACAUAUAUUAUUUGAUAAAUUUUUUAGUCUAGAUGAAGGAAUUACAAGGCUUUGAAGAUAAUACAUGUAAUUCAAAGGUAGUAAGUUAGUCAUUUUAUUAAUAGUAAUGGUUGGAGCCAUAUCUUGAGUUUUUGAAUGAAUUUUUGGCUCAAAUUUUUUAUAAGUAUGUAUUAUUAAGUUAAAAAGCUAUAAAUCAAAACUUCAUGGUAUUUGAGUACUUAUUUUGUGAGAUAUGAAGAAAAUAGCAUGCAUAUAUAUGUAA
rnacentral:lncRNA from 1 species